GUUGUCGUGGCCGAGUGGUUAAGGCGAUGGACUUGAAAUCCAUUGGGAUCUAACCUUGCAGGUUCGAAUCCUGCCGACAACG
rnacentral:tRNA from 1 species